AAUUGCCAUGACAUUUCUCCAAGUCUCCAAAAGAAAACAUACAUCACUUACCAUCGCAUAGCACAGUUCGGUCAGAAAGCUAGGCCAUGCAUCAAACGAGUACUAGUUAAGAAAUCAGAAACGAGGGUUCCCAAGAGAUGCAUAUCACAUCGUUUACUAUUUCAGAUCGGUACAUGACACGGCAACAUCAGCAAUCAAACCAAAAAUCAGCAUUCCACCAGUUUUAGAUACACGGCAGCCAACUACAGUUCCUGAGACGCAAACAUGGCAAUCUAAGAGGAGGUGAACUUGGUGACGGCCUUGGUGCCCUCGGAGACGGCGUGCUUGGCGAGCUCGCCGGGGAGGACGAGGCGGACGGAGGUCUGGAUCUCCCGGGAGGUGAUGGUGGGCUUCUUGUUGUAGCGGGCGAGCUUGGCGGCCUCGCCGGCGAGCUUCUCGAAGAUGUCGUUGAUGAAGGAGUUCAUGAUGGACAUGGCCUUGGAGGAGAUGCCGAUGUCGGGGUGCACCUGCUUGAGCACCUUGAAGAUGUAGAUCUUGUACGUCUCGACGCUCUUCUUGCCCUUCUUCCGGCCCCUCUUCUCGCCGCCCUCCUUGGAGGCGGUCUUGCCCGCCGGCAGCCGCUUCUCGGCCUUGGGCUUCUUGGCCGCCGGGGCCUUCUCGGCCUUCUCCGUCGUCGGCUCCUCCUCCGCGGGCUUCUUCGCCGCCAGCUUCUUCUCCGCCUUGGGGGCCAUCGCUGCUGAGGUUGAUUUGGUGUGGGGGAUUCUCCGCCUGGGUGGGUUGUGCGUGCUGGAACUGGAAGAAGAUGGGGAAUUUGUUUGGAAGGAGAUGUUGCGGAACAAGCUGCGGGAGGGCUAGGUUUAUACAGAGGGGGAGGUGGGCGCUGAUUGGUGGAUAGGUGGGUGCCCCGGAUCGGUGACGUGGAACCGUGCGAUGCGUUCGGCGCUGUUUUCUGUGGACGGGCGGGAUGCGUUUCGGCGCGGAUCGCUGUUCCUGGCGAAAAGACACGGGCGGGAACGGAAAGGCCAGAGCGCGCGACCGCGAGAAUGGUUUGGAUUUCUUUCACCACUCUAUCUUUUCUUUUUCCUGGUUUCCUCUCAUGGUUUUACCGGUUGAAUUAAAAAGCGUAAGAAUGUUCGCGAAUUCAAAAAUAUUCGUGGAUUCGAGAAAAUGCAAACUCGAAACAAAAUGUCUGUGAACUUAAAAAUAUUCAUGAAUUGAAAAAGUUCAUGCAAAAUAGAAAAGAUGUUCGCGGAUUGAAAAAAUGUUCACAAAUUCUAAAAUGUCUGUACAUUUGAAAAAUGCUGACAAAUUUGAACAAAAGUUCACGCAAAGUAGAAAAAAUGCCCGUGGAUUCAAAAAAAUCAUGUAUUAAAAAAUAUUUGUGAAUUCAAAAAAUGUUCACGAAUCUGCUGUUCGCCAAUUCAAAAAAUGUUUGUGAAUUUAAAAAUGUUCGCGUAUUUUAAACAGUUCACUAAUUCAAAAAAUAAUUCGCAUAUAGAAAAAAUGUUCACUGAUUUGAAAAAAAA
rnacentral:lncRNA from 1 species